AAUCAAGACGAUCCGGUACGCGUGAAUUUCUUUUCACAUUAAUCUGGUCAAUAACCUUGAAUAAUUGAGGGAUGACCUCAUUUAAUCUCCAGUAGCAACUUUGAUCCGUUAUGGGAGGAGUUAUGCGUCUGGAUCGUCUUACUAA
rnacentral:sRNA from 1 species